AGAGUUUGAUCCUGGCUCAGGACGAACGCUGGCGGCGUGCUUAACACAUGCAAGUUGUACGGUAUGUCAUGGAAGCUUGCUGAAGUGACAUAUAGUAGCGAACGGGUGAGUAAUGCAUGAGAAUUUAUCCUUAGGAGGGGGACAACAGCUGGAAACGGCUGCUAAUACCCCGUAUGCCGGAAGGUGAAAGGUACGAGAGUGCCGCCUGGGGAUGAGCUCAUGUCCUAUCAGCUAGUUGGUGGGGUAACGGCCUACCAAGGCGACGACGGGUAGCCGGCCUGAGAGGGUGGACGGCCACACUGGAACUGAGACACGGUCCAGACUCCUACGGGAGGCAGCAGUGGGGAAUUUUGGGCAAUGGGGGGAACCCUGACCCAGCGACGCCGCGUGAGGGAAGACAGCCUUCGGGUUUUAAACCUCUUUUGUACGGGAAGAUAAUGACGGUACUGUACGAAUAAGUCCCGGCUAACUACGUGCCAGCAGCCGCGGUAAUACGUAGGGGACGAGCGUUGUCCGGAAUUACUGGGCGUAAAGGGCGCGCAGGCUGCGUUACAAGUCAGCUGUUAAAUGCAUGGGCUUACCCCAUGAGUGCGGUUGAAACUGUAGUGCUAGAGUACUGUAGAGGCAAGCGGAAUUCCCAGUGUAGCGGUGAAAUGCGUAGAUAUUGGGAGGAACACCGGUGGCGUAGGCGGCUUGCUGGACAGUAACUGACGCUGAGGCGCGAAAGCCAGGGGAAGCAACGGGAUUAGAUACCCCGGUAGUCCUGGCCGUAAACGAUGAAUGCUAGGUGUGGGUGUAGCGAUACAUCUGUGCCGUAGUUAACGCGUUAAGCAUUCCGCCUGGGGAGUACGAUCCGCAGAUUGAACCUCAAAGGAAAUGGACGGGGGCCCCGCACAAGCGGUGGGAGCCACGGGGUUUUAAUUUGAUUGCAAACCGAAAGAACUUUACCUGGG
rnacentral:rRNA from 1 species